UUUUAUGGAGAGUUUGAUCCUGGCUCAGGAUGAACGCUGGCGGCGUGCCUAAUACAUGCAAGUCGAGCGAACGGACGAGAAGCUUGCUUCUCUGAUGUUAGCGGCGGACGGGUGAGUAACACGUGGAUAACCUACCUAUAAGACUGGGAUAACUUCGGGAAACCGGAGCUAAUACCGGAUAAUAUUUUGAACCGCAUGGUUCAAAAGUAAAAGACGGUCUUGCUGUCACUUAUAGAUGGAUCCGCGCUGCAUUAGCUAGUUGGUAAGGUAACGGCUUACCAAGGCAACGAUGCAUAGCCGACCUGAGAGGGUGAUCGGCCACACUGGAACUGAGACACGGUCCAGACUCCUACGGGAGGCAGCAGUAGGGAAUCUUCCGCAAUGGGCGAAAGCCUGACGGAGCAACGCCGCGUGAGUGAUGAAGGUCUUCGGAUCGUAAAACUCUGUUAUUAGGGAAGAACAUAUGUGUAAGUAACUGUGCACAUCUUGACGGUACCUAAUCAGAAAGCCACGGCUAACUACGUGCCAGCAGCCGCGGUAAUACGUAGGUGGCAAGCGUUAUCCGGAAUUAUUGGGCGUAAAGCGCGCGUAGGCGGUUUUUUAAGUCUGAUGUGAAAGCCCACGGCUCAACCGUGGAGGGUCAUUGGAAACUGGAAAACUUGAGUGCAGAAGAGGAAAGUGGAAUUCCAUGUGUAGCGGUGAAAUGCGCAGAGAUAUGGAGGAACACCAGUGGCGAAGGCGACUUUCUGGUCUGUAACUGACGCUGAUGUGCGAAAGCGUGGGGAUCAAACAGGAUUAGAUACCCUGGUAGUCCACGCCGUAAACGAUGAGUGCUAAGUGUUAGGGGGGUUCCGCCCCUUAGUGCUGCAGCUAACGCAUUAAGCACUCCGCCUGGGGAGUACGACCGCAAGGUUGAAACUCAAAGGAAUUGACGGGGACCCGCACAAGCGGUGGAGCAUGUGGUUUAAUUCGAAGCAACGCGAAGAACCUUACCAAAUCUUGACAUCCUUUGACAACUCUAGAGAUAGAGCCUUCCCCUUCGGGGGACAAAGUGACAGGUGGUGCAUGGUUGUCGUCAGCUCGUGUCGUGAGAUGUUGGGUUAAGUCCCGCAACGAGCGCAACCCUUAAGCUUAGUUGCCAUCAUUAAGUUGGGCACUCUAAGUUGACUGCCGGUGACAAACCGGAGGAAGGUGGGGAUGACGUCAAAUCAUCAUGCCCCUUAUGAUUUGGGCUACACACGUGCUACAAUGGACAAUACAAAGGGCAGCGAAACCGCGAGGUCAAGCAAAUCCCAUAAAGUUGUUCUCAGUUCGGAUUGUAGUCUGCAACUCGACUACAUGAAGCUGGAAUCGCUAGUAAUCGUAGAUCAGCAUGCUACGGUGAAUACGUUCCCGGGUCUUGUACACACCGCCCGUCACACCACGAGAGUUUGUAACACCCGAAGCCGGUGGAGUAACCUUUUAGGAGCUAGCCGUCGAAGGUGGGACAAAUGAUUGGGGUGAAGUCGUAACAAGGUAGCCGUAUCGGAAGGUGCGGCUGGAUCACCUCCUUUCUAA
rnacentral:rRNA from 1 species